GUCCCUUUCGUCUAGUGGUCAGGACGUCGCCUUUUCAUGGCGAAAACACGGGUUCGAAUCCCGUAGGGGAUA
rnacentral:tRNA from 1 species